GGGGCUGUCUGGUUUUGACAGCAAGGCAAAUGGGAAUGUAAGCAUGUCGAGCCACGUGUCAACCGCUCGCUAAUCUGGGGAUACAAACAAUAAAAGGCGAAAAUAACUACGCUCUUGCUGCUUAAUCGAAUAGAGUAGAUUAAGCUUAAUCCCUCGCUUAGAGCUUGGGACAAGACAUCACUCGGCGAGCCUGUCUUACGCUUUCCGGUUCAGUGGUGCUCGUGAGUAUAGACUAGUUCGGGGAAGGUCCUGGUUCCCGUGCGAAACUAAAAGGACUAAGGGUUAGUUCGGCUGCCGAUGGCCAGGCUGACUUCGAAAACCAAUUAUCGGAUAAACAUGUAGAAAGCAUUCGUGUUUCUUGUUUGGACGCGGGUUCGACUCCCGCCAGCUCCACUU
rnacentral:tmRNA from 1 species